AUGCGGCUCAGUACUCCUGUGGGUGCAGUUUGGGGGCGCGUCGGCGACGACGGUAGCAACGCAGUGCACUCCAGUGGUCGCCGUGGUGCAGCUCAGUGGCUCGCUCGAGCACGGGCUUCAUCGCCUCGGAGAUUCUGUAGUGUGUUCCCUGGUCAUGCAGCUCGGUAUCAUGAAGUCCACAAUUUGCUCUCGAUUUUUCAUAAGAAUUUGAUGGUUCACUUCUGUUUAGUAAAAAGACGAGGAGUACACUUUCUUUUGGAUGUGGUUCAUUGUGCUACGCGUUGGAUCGAAUACUCCCGUCAGUUUUCCUAA
rnacentral:rRNA from 1 species